rnacentral:rRNA from 1 species
AUGGCCGCCACCGCCACCGCCACCGCCGCCGCUUCCCUUUCCCUCCACCUCCGCCUCCGCCCUCCUCCCCAUGCCCACCGCAGCCCCCUUCGCCAUGCCCCGUUCCUCCUAUCCCCUUCUCCGUCCACCCCUUGGCCUCCUCACCACCUUCACGUCGCUAACGGCCGGCUCCCUCCCCCUUGCCGCCCCUCUGUGAAGGCGCGGGCAGGUGCCAUCGAGGCUCCGAGCCUCGCGCGCCUUGGGGGCGCCGUAGAGACCGACCGCCUCCCCGCCGACGUGCGCGACCGCGCCAUGGACGCCGUCGACUACUUGGGCGGCCGCGUCACAAUCGGCGACGUCGCCUCCCGCGCCGGCCUGCAGAUUGACCAGGCAGAGCGCGCGCUCCAGGCUCUCGCGGCAGACACCGGGGGCUUCCUGGAGGUUUCGGGGGAAGGGGAGGUGCUGUACGUCUUCCCCGAAGACUACAGGGCGAAGCUCGCUGGCAAGUCAUUCAGAAUGCGGGUCGAGCCACUGGUCGAUAAAGCCAAGGAAGCGGGUGCGUAUCUGGCGCGGGUGUCUUUUGGGACAGCACUAGUUGCUUCCAUUGUGCUUGUAUAUGCUACCAUCAUUGCCAUUCUCUCAAGCUCGAGUGAUGAAGAUAAUCGUGGAAGGCGGCGCAGAUCCUAUGGCUCUACGAUGUUCCUCCCAACAGAUUUAUUUUGGUACUUGGAUGCAGGUUCCUCCAGGAGGAGGCGGGUAGAAAAAGAUAAGGGGAUGAGCUUUAUUGAAUCUGUCUUCUCGUUUGUAUUUGGGAAUGGUGAUCCUAAUGACGGGCUUGAAGAGAGAAGGUGGAAGAUGAUUGGGCAGUAUAUUUCAUCGAAUGGUGGAGUUGUUACGGCAGAAGAACUGGCACCGUAUCUUGAUGUACCGGCACCUGCAGAGCAAACCAACUCCAAGGAUGAUGAAUCAUUUAUUCUUCCAGUUCUUUUACGCUUCCAGGGACAUCCUUUAGUUGACGAUCAGGGAAACAUUCUUUAUCGAUUCCCAUCGCUGCAACGCACUGCUUCCUCGAAAGGAGGUGGGAGUAGGGAAUAUGUUGGUACAAGAUGGUCUACAAUGUCGAGUGGCGUUGAAAAGUUUAUGGAAGAGAAACCAUGGGAAUUCAGUGAAGCAAAUGCAUUAGAGAGGGCAAUGGUUGCUGGUUUGGGAGGACUCAAUCUUUUUGGCGUCAUAAUUCUGGGAAACUUACUGAAGCAAAUGACAAUGACACCUGGUGGGCUUAUCUCAUUUGCUGCGCAGUUAUUUCCCUUGCUUCAGAUAUAUGCUGGCUCCUUUUUUGCAAUACCAUUAUUUAGAUGGUUGCUGCUACGCAAGACCAACAAUGACAUUGCAAGGAGGAACAAGGCUAGAGAAGAGAGAGCCCAGGAACUUUUGUCGCCAGAACCUUCUCUCAGAAGAAAGUUGCUCAGUGCACGCGACAUGGCUCAGUGGAAGGUGAUUACACCAGGGGAGAUUGUCUACACAACCGAAAAGGAUCUAUUGGAUCAGAAAUAUGAAGUUAGGGAGUGGGAAAGGCGAUUUAAGAAACUUGAGUCAGACUGA